UAUAUGACUGAGUGGCGGACGGGUGAGUAACGCGUGGGGAACCUGCCCUAUACAGGGGGAUAACAGCUGGAAACAGCUGCUAAUACCGCAUAAGCGCACAGAAUCGCAUGAUUCAGUGUGAAAAGCCCUGGCAGUAUAGGAUGGUCCCGCGUCUGAUUAGCUGGUUGGUGAGGUAACGGCUCACCAAGGCGACGAUCAGUAGCCGGCUUGAGAGAGUGAACGGCCACAUUGGGACUGAGACACGGCCCAAACUCCUACGGGAGGCAGCAGUGGGGAAUAUUGCACAAUGGGGGAAACCCUGAUGCAGCGACGCCGCGUGAGUGAAGAAGUAUUUCGGUAUGUAAAGCUCUAUCAGCAGGGAAGAAAACAGACGGUACCUGACUAAGAAGCCCCGGCUAACUACGUGCCAGCAGCCGCGGUAAUACGUAGGGGGCAAGCGUUAUCCGGAAUUACUGGGUGUAAAGGGUGCGUAGGUGGCAUGGUAAGUCAGAAGUGAAAGCCCGGGGCUUAACCCCGGGACUGCUUUUGAAACUGUCAUGCUGGAGUGCAGGAGAGGUAAGCGGAAUUCCUAGUGUAGCGGUGAAAUGCGUAGAUAUUAGGAGGAACACCAGUGGCGAAGGCGGCUUACUGGA
rnacentral:rRNA from 1 species